UGGGGAAUAUUGGACAAUGGGGGCAACCCUGAUCCAGCAAUGCCGCGUGGGUGAUGAAGGCCUUCGGGUUGUAAAUCCCUUUCGGCGGGGAAGAUGAUGACGGUACCCGCAGAAGAAGCUCCGGCUAACUCCGUGCCAGCAGCCGCGGUAAUACGGAGGGAGCUAGCGUUGUUCGGAAUUACUGGGCGUAAAGGGCGCGUAGGCGGCCGAUCCAGUCAGGCGUGAAAGCCCCGGGCUCAACCUGGGAAUUGCGCUUGAUACUGAUUGGCUGGAGUCCGGGAGAGGGUAGUGGAAUUCCCAGUGUAGAGGUGAAAUUCGUAGAUAUUGGGAAGAACACCGGUGGCGAAGGCGGCUACCUGGCCCGGUACUGACGCUGAGGCGCGAAAGCGUGGGGAGCAAACA
rnacentral:rRNA from 1 species